rnacentral:misc_RNA from 1 species
AGCAAAAUUCAUCUGAUCUUUAGCAUGUAUGAUAUUCAACGAAGAGGAAGACUGUCCAAGAAAGACUUUGCUAACAUGAUCAAAUCCCUGUUGGAUUUGUCAGAUUCAACCCUUGAUGACAAAAAGAUGGAGGAGCUAGUGACCUCGAUGUACAAGGCCGCCAAUAUCAGCUAUGGCUCAGACAUCACCUUUGAGGACUUCAAGAAGAUUUUUGCCUCUGAUGAAUACGCUGGAACUUUGCAAAAGGCCACCCUUAAUCUGGACGCUAUUGGAGAUAUUGGACAACCAGUAAAGAAUGUAGCCAACACCACAACAAUCCGAUCAAAAAGAGCCACCAUCAUGAAGAACUACACUCAGAAAGGUGCAAAAAAGAAAGGUUUCCAGAGACAGCAGAGUGUCGUUCGUGUGACUACCCAUCAACAGGAAUAUCCCAAAACACCAUUCGCACAGAAGAUGUAUGAAAUCACCAGCUAUAUCUCAUCGAACAGACUGGAGAUCUUCUGGGGAACCCUCUUCACCCUGGUUCUAAUCGGAAUUUUCCUGGAAAGAGCUUUCUACUACUCCUUCGAGCGUGAACAUGCUGGACUGAGGCGAAUCGCCGGAUAUGGAGUAACAGUCACUCGAGGAGCUGCUAGUGCCAUGAUGUUCACCUACUGCGCGCUGUUGAUAACAAUGAGCCGCAAUAUGAUCACGUUCUUCAGAGAAACUUUCCUGCACCGCUUCUUUCCAUGGGACUCCAUGCAUGCAUUUCACAAGUUCAUUGCAUACCAGGCCUUACUAUCCACAUUUAUUCAUGUGAUUGGCCAUGGUAUCAAUCUCUAUCACAUCUCAACUCAAACUUCUGGAGAUGCUAACUGCUACUUCAUGGAAUAUUUCAGAGCAACACAUAUUCUAGCAUCCUUCCAUUACUGGACCUACACCACAAUCACUGGUGUUACUGGAAUACUCCUGACCCUGAUUGUGAUCGUCAUGUAUGUUUUUGCCACCCCGUACGCCCGCACGAACGCCUUCAAUGCUUUCUGGAACACCCACAAUCUGUACAUCUUCCUGUACAUCUUUAUGAUCAUGCAUGGUCUGGGGCGGCUGGUGCAGGCCCCUAUCACACACACCUACCUGAUUGGACCACUCGUUAUCUACAUCAUUGACAAGCUGAUCAGUCUCAGCCGAAAGAAGAUUGAGUGUAGAGUGGUGAAGGCAGAGUUACUUCCAUCUGAUGUUACAGCUCUAGUUUUCCAGAGACCAACAACAUUUGACUAUAAAUCUGGACAGUGGGUUAGAAUUGCAUGUCUUGAGCUGGGCGAGAAUGAGUACCACCCCUUCACCAUCAGCUCUGCCCCCCACGAGGAAUACCUCAGCCUUCACAUCCGAGCAGUGGGGCCUUGGACCUACAAUCUCAGAAAUCUAUACGACCCAGACAACCUGGAGGGAAAAUUGGCUUAUCCAAGUGUCUACGUUGAUGGACCCUAUGGAGAGGGGCACCAGGAUUGGUACAGGUAUGAAGUGGCCAUAUUGGUGGGCGGAGGUAUUGGGGUCACUCCAUUUGCUUCCAUCUUAAAAGACAUCGUCCACAAAUCCAAGAUUGCCGACCUCAGAUUCCCAUGCAAAAAGGUGUACUUUUUGUGGGUGACGCGUACUCAGAAGCAGUUUGAGUGGAUGACGGAUAUCAUCCGCGAGGUGGAGAAUGUGGACAGCAAUCAGUUCAUGGAUACUCAUAUAUUUGUCACUCAAUUCAAGGAGAAAUUUGAUUUACGAACCACCAUGUUGUACAUUUGUGAGAGACAUUUCCAGAAAGUAGCAGGGAAAAGUUUAUUCACCGGUCUAAGUGCUGUUACCCAUUUUGGUCGACCCAACUUCCAGGAUUUCUUGAAAUCAGUCAGAAGUGAACAUCCUAAUGUGCGUACCUUUGGAGUUUUUAGCUGCGGCCCACCUAACAUGACCAACAACCUGGAUGGAGCUUGUACCAACCUCAACAAGCAGGAGGGCGCCACUUUCAAUCACCACUUCGAAAACUUCUAGACUGUUUGUUUAUAUUAAGUUUUAGAUGUUUAUAAAUAAUAUCUACAGCAACUCUCAUUCAUUUUUGUUUUUAUUCCGUGAUUAAAUGCCUGUAGUAGUUAAUUGACUUUAAACUUUAUUUGCUUUUGAAUUGUAUACUAUAUAUCAGCUGUGUGAUAUACAUGGAAAGUUAUAAACAUUAUGGAUGAACAUGUAAAACUUAGUAAAAUGAAUGCAGAAGAAAAUGUAAAUGUUGGAACAUGCGUGUAUAGAACCAGAUUCUGAACAUCUCUAUCACUGUAUACCGGGUACUAUCAAAAUGUAUUUUUUUCCAUGCUUGAGGACUAUAGGAAAAAUAAUAUUAUGUUAAAAAAUGCAUUCUGCAGUGACUUCCUGCUGAUGCCUUAUCCGAAAUAUGUUUAAUGUACCAGAACAAUUUGAAGAAGCACACUAUAGGAUGUCUUCAAAAUGAACUAUCAUCCACAUGUAUUUGUACAUAUGUGUUAUAGAACAUUCCAUCCAAUAGAGGAAUUUAUUUUUGUACAUUUGUAUGGUCAUUUCAGUAAAAAUAUUACACAU